GUUUGAUCCUGGCUCAGAGCGAACGUUAGCGGCAGGCUUAACACAUGCAAGUCGAGCGACAAAGGGGCUUCGGCCCUGAGUAGAGCGGCGGACGGGUGCGUAACACGUGGAUAAUCUGCCUCGUGGCGGGGGAUAACAGUCCGAAAGGACUGCUAAUACCGCAUGUCAGGUCGGAAACCCCGGUUUCUGACGAAAAAGAGGGCGCCCCGCAAGGGGCUCUCACCACGAGAUGAGUCCGCGGCCCAUCAGCUAGUUGGCGGUGUAAUAGACCACCAAGGCUAAGACGGGUAGCUGGUCUGAGAGGAUGACCAGCCACACUGGGACUGAGACACGGCCCAGACUCCUACGGGAGGCAGCAGUGGGGAAUAUUGGGACAAUGGGCGAAAAGCCUGAUCCAGCCAUGCCGCGUGAGUGAUGAAGGUCUUCGGAUCGUAAAGCUCUGUGGGAA
rnacentral:rRNA from 1 species